UCCGUAGGGUGCGCGCGUUAAUCGGAAUUCCUGGGCGUAAAGCGUGCGCAGGCGGCGCCGCAAGUCGAGUGUGAAAUCCCCGAGCUUAACUUGGGAAUUGCGCUCGAAACUACGGUGCUGGAGUGUGGCAGAGGGAGGUGGAAUUCCACGUGUAGCGGUGAAAUGCGUAGAGAUGUGGAGGAACACCGAUGGCGAAGGCAGCCUCCUGGGCCAACACUGACGCUCAUGCACGAAAGCGUGGGGAGCAAACAGG
rnacentral:rRNA from 1 species